rnacentral:rRNA from 2 species
UCGACCUCAGGGCAGGUGAGACUACCCGCCGAAUUUA